rnacentral:lncRNA from 1 species
ACAAAUACCCACCUUAUUACUACAAAUCUCCACCUCCACCAUCUCCCUCACCACCUCCUCCGUAUGUGUACAAGUCCCCACCACCUCCAUCUCCCUCUCCUCCUCCUCCAUAUGUCUACAAGUCACCACCUCCUCCAUCACCUUCACCUCCCCCACCAUAUGUCUAUAAGAGUCCACCACCACCCUCUCCAUCACCACCACCUCCAUAUGUCUACAAGUCUCCUCCUCCACCAACACCCUCACCUCCCCCGCCCUAUGUUUACAAGUCACCACCACCUCCUUCCCCUUCACCUCCUCCUCCAUAUGUCUACAAGUCACCACCUCCUCCAUCUCCUUCACCUCCCCCACCAUAUGUCUAUAAGAGUCCACCACCACCCUCUCCAUCACCACCACCUCCAUAUGUCUACAAGUCUCCUCCUCCACCAUCACCUUCUCCUCCCCCACCCUAUAUUUAUAAGUCGCCACCACCUCCAUCUCCUUCACCUCCUCCUCCAUAUGUCUACAAGUCACCACCUCCACCAUCCCCAUCUCCACCACCACCAUAUGUCUACAAAUCUCCACCCCCACCAUCACCUUCACCCCCUCCACCAUAUGUAUAUAAGUCACCACCUCCUCCAUCUCCCU